rnacentral:lncRNA from 1 species
GCGGUGGGCUGAAGAGUUCCUCAAGUGCCGCCAAAGUGGGAGCCCAGGCAGAGACGGCGCCGAGAGCGAGCGAGGGCUGUGAGGACUGCUAGCACACUGUCACCUCUCACCACCAUGUGAAGAAGAGGUGCCAGAUGUGUGAGUGAAGAAGCCUUUGAGAAGACCCCAGCCACAGUCAUCAUUAGACUACAACCUCCUGAGAGUCUCCAGCCAGUCACCCAGCUGAACCGCUCUUAAGUUCCUCACCCAAAGAAAUCCGGGUAGGUAUUAAAUGGUUGUUUUUGUUUUAAGCUACAUUGCUUUUGGAUAAUUUGUUACACAGCCAUAGUAAUUGGAAUAUGA